rnacentral:rRNA from 1 species
CGCUGGCGGUAUGCUUCAUACAUGCAAGUCGAACGAUAAGCCCUUCGGGGUACAUAAGUGGCGGACGGGUGAGUAACACGUAGAAAAUCUGCCUUAAGGGAACGGGGACAACAGUUAGGAAACGACUGCUAAUACCCUAUAUGAGCUAGACUGAAAUGUCUAUCUUAGAAAGUUCCGGCGCCUUAAGAUGAGUCUGCGUCUGAUUAGCUUGUUGGUGGGGUAAAGGCCUACCAAGGCGACGAUCAGUAGCUGGUUUGAGAGGAUGACCAGCCACAAUGGGACUGAGACACGGCCCAUACUCCUACGGGAGGCAGCAGUAGGGUAAUUUUGCGCAAUGGGGGAAACCCUGACGCAGCAAUACCGCGUGAAUGACGACGCCCUUCGGGGUGUAAAGUUCUGUCAGUGGGGACGAAUUUUGACGGUACCCACAAAGGAAGCAUCGGCUAACUACGUG